AUUGAACGCUGGCGGCAGGCCUAACACAUGCAAGUCGAACGAGAGGCGGACGGGUGAGUAAUGUCUGGGCAACUGCCCGAUGGAGGGGGAUAACUACUGGAAACGGUAGCUGAUACCGCAUACCAUCGGAUGUGCCCAGAUGGGAUUAGCUCGUAGGUGGGGUAACGGCUCACCUGUGCGACGAUCCCUAGCUGGUCUGAGAGGAUGAACAGCCACACUGUGACUGAGAAACGGCCCAGACUCCUACGGUAGGCAGCAGUGGGGAAUAUUGCACAAUGGGCGAAAGCCUGAUGCAGCCAUGCCGCGUGUAUGAAGAAGGCCUUCGGGUUGUAAAGUACUUUCAGCGAGGAGGCGUUACUCGCAGAAUAAGCACCGGCUAACUCCGUGCCAGCAGCCGCGGUAAUUC
rnacentral:rRNA from 1 species